rnacentral:rRNA from 1 species
AACACAUUCAAGUCGAACGGUGAAGUGACUUCGGUCACGGAACAGUGGCGGACGGGUGAGUAACGCGUGAAUACCUGCCUGUGUGUGGGGAUAACAACCGGAAACAGUUGCUAAUACCGCAUAACGUAUAAGAGUCGCAUGUCUUUUAUACCAAAGAUUUAUUGCACACAGAUGGAUUCGCGUCCGAUUAGAUAGUUGGUGAGGUAACGGCCCACCAAGUCGACGAUCGGUAGCCGGACUGAGAGGUCGAACGGCCACAUUGGAACUGAGAAACGGUCCAGACUCCUACGGGAGGCAGCAGUGGGGAAUAUUGGGCAAUGGGCGAAAGCCUGACCCAGCAACGCCGCGUGAAGGAAGAAGGCCUUCGGGUUGUAAACUUCUUUUACCAGGGACGAAGAACGUGACGGUACCUGGAGAAAAAGCAACGGCUAACUACGUG